AAAAGGAAAGCUAACUUAAUAUAACUUAUGUGCCAACAGGUCUAGCCCAUUAAAAAAGGGUCUUAACUUGCAAAUCAGUGGUUUCUAAUUCGAACCUCAUGGCAACUUCGUAGUGUGUGUGUGUGUGAGGAACCUCUCCCUUUUGUGGUUUAGAUUAUCACUUUUAUUUUAUAAAAGAAAAGAUAAAUAUGUUAAAGUGGGCUGAGAUUUAUAGGAAGAGAGUUAUUGAAGAUGAGGUAUAAAGAGGAGUUAUGCUUUAAGUUGGUUGGUGAAAUGGAGAGAGGGUGAUGUGCUUUAUAUUUACAUGUCUGCCUUCAUCUAGCUCGAGGCCUUUUGAGAGCUCACUGGCUUCGAAGUCAUGAGAACUCCAAAGUUAAGCUAGUUGGAGCUAGAGCAAUCCCA
rnacentral:lncRNA from 1 species